AAACUUUCAACAACGGAUCUCUUGGUUCUCGCAUCGAUGAAGAACGCAGCGAAAUGCGAUAAGUAAUGCGAAUUGCAGAAUUCAGUGAAUCAUCGAAUCUUUGAACGCACAUUGCGCCCCUUGGUAUUCCGAGGGGCAUGCCUGUUCGAGCGUCAUUA
rnacentral:rRNA from 1 species